CCUACGGGGGGCAGCAGUGGGGAAUAUUGCACAAUGGGGGAAACCCUGAUGCAGCGACGCCGCGUGAAGGAAGAAGUAUUUCGGUAUGUAAACUUCUAUCAGCAGGGAAGAAAAUGACGGUACCUGACUAAGAAGCCCCGGCUAACUACGUGCCAGCAGCCGCGGUACUACGUAGGGGGCAAGCGUUAUCCGGAUUGACUGGGUAGAAAGGGAGCGUAGGCGGUUUAGCAAGUCAGACGUGAAAGCCCUGGGCUCAACUCCGGGACUGCUUUUGAAACUGUUGAACUAGAUUGCAGGAGAGGUAAGUGGAAUUCCUAGUGUAGCGGUGAAAUGCGUAGAUAUUAGGAGGAACACCAGUGGCGAAGGCGGCUUACUGGACUGUAAAUGACGCUGAGGCUCGAAAGCGUGGGGAGCAAACAGGAUUAGAUACCCGAGUAGUC
rnacentral:rRNA from 1 species